UCCCUGGCACAGGGACUGGCCUUCAGAGUUUUCCAUAUAAUAUCUGAAAUGGAUAUUAACUCAGAAACACCCCUUCAUGGCCAGAUAAAAACAUGCAAGACAUGAACCAUUCAUAUUAUUGUUUUAGAGAAGAGAUAUAAGUAUCCAUAGGAGUACAGGACUUGGUGUUACCCACCUUUCUUCCUCACAGUGCCUUAUGCCAAGUUGGCUGUGGAAAGCACCUGCUUAGGGAAAGGACACAGACUAACACAAAAAGAAACAUUUAUAUUUUUCUCCCUACCUGAGAUCUCCAGAAUUCAGAAAUUCUCAGUGUUGUUGGAGGAGGUCAUCUAGAGGACGUGACUGCGAUUGCCCUGUGAGCUCAACCCAGCAGUUUGAGGCUCCUCCUCCAACCCUGUCCUUGGAACAUAUGCUCCACGUGUCUUCCCUACUUCCAGAGACUGCCCCAAGUCCAUGGGCGUGAGACAGCAAUGUGGUGAUGAGAACACCUGCAUGGUGUACAUGACUGAACCCAGGCAAGGAAGCCAGAAUAUUAAUCUACCAGCCCCUGAUCUUCACUGGCCAGAGUCACUCUUGAGAUUUGGACUCCCCAGAACUCCCCAUCUAGUGAAGGCCAAGCAUGCUGUCAGAAAACAUUGAAUAAAAAACAUAGUUAUAAUUGUUCAGUGGAAGAAAGAACAUUGAAAAAAGAAAGAAAAACAGAGAAAGAAGAUCUGCAUGGAGAUAGUGCCAGAGAGCAAUAUGAGCCCAGUAAAACUGCAACUCCUUUCAACCUGACUGUUUGAAGCCCAGAGCAAAGGUAUCUCCAAAACGAGUGGGUGGCAGACACACUUGCCUUACAGCUCUUUUUCUAAAGAAAGAAAUGAAAAAAAAAAAGUCAACACGCAGGUCAGAUCUUUAU